rnacentral:tRNA from 1 species
GCCCCCGUAGCCCAGCUCGGUAGGGCGGCAGCCUCGUACGCUGUGGCCGGGCAAGUUGCAAGUCCCGAGUUCGAAUCUCGGCGGGGGCUCCA